CCAAAUUGUAUGUUCUUAUCAUAGCUCGUUGUGCAACUAGUAUAUCUUUUAUCAUGUUUAUAAGUUUUAAUUUCAAAUCUAUGUAUAAUUUCAAAAUUUAAUGUGAACCUUAUUAUACAAUGUAUUCAGUAACCUGAUGAUGACAAGCCAAAACGAAAUAGUUACUAAGUAUAAAUACCUAUAUAAUAUAUUAAUACUUUAAUUUUUGAUAUUCUUGAAAAGUUUAACAUCAUUUUAUUUAUUAUCCAGGAUGUAUUUCGCAUGUGAUACAAAAAAUGCAGCAAGAAAAAAAAAUAAAAACCAAUCAAAUUUAGCAAAACAAUUUAAUUUGCAAUACCUAUACCUAUUGGCUAUUACAAUAAUAUUAUAAUAAACUAAUAAACCAUAGUUAAUUAUACUUACUAUGCACUGUUAUUUAAAUUCAA